rnacentral:rRNA from 1 species
CGUACGGGUGAGUAACACGUAAGUAAUCUACCUUUGGGUGGGGAAUAACUCAAGGAAACUUGAGCUAAUACCGCAUAAUGCAGCGGCUCCUUAUGGAGACAGUUGUUAAAGCAUUUAUGUGCCUAAAGAGGAGCUUGCGGCAGAUUAGCUAGUUGGUAAGGUAAUGGCUUACCAAGGCAACGAUCUGUAGCCGGCCUGAGAGGGCGGUCGGUCACACUGACACUGAAUAACGGGUCAG